ACUCCUACGGGAGGCAGCAGUGGGGAAUAUUGCACAAUGGGGAAACCCUGAUGCAGCCAUGCCGCGUGUGUGAAGAAGGCCUUCGGUUGUAAAGCACUUUCAGUAGGGAGGAAGGUAGUGUAGUUAACACCUGCACUAUUUGACGUUACCUACAGAAGAAGCACCGGCUAACUCCGUGCCAGCAGCCGCGGUAAUACGGAGGGGUGCGAGCGUUAAUCGGAAUUACUGGGCGUAAAGCGCAUGCAGGCGGCCUGUUAAGUCAGAUGUGAAAGCCCGGGGGCUUAACCUCGGAAUUGCAUUUGAAACUGGCAGGCUAGAGUCUUGUAGAGGGGGUAGAAUUUCAGGUGUAGCGGUGAAAUGCGUAGAGAUCUGAAGGAAUACCAGUGGCGAAGGCGGCCCCCUGGACAAAGACUGACGCUCAGAUGCGAAAGCGUGGGGAGCAAACAGGAUUAGAUACCCUGGUAGCACAGAG
rnacentral:rRNA from 1 species